CGGGUGCACUGAUCCGGCCGGGCCUUUCCCUCUGUGGAACCCCAUGGCCUUCACUGGCUGUGCGGGGGAAACAGGACUUUUACUGUGAAAAAAUUAGAGUGCUCCAGGCAGGCCUAUGCUCGAAUACAUUAGCAUGGAAUAAUAGAAUAGGACGCGUGGUUCUAUUUUGUUGGUUUCUAGGACCGCCGUAAUGAUUAAUAGGGACAGUCGGGGGCAUCAGUAUUCAAUUGUCAGAGGUGAAAUUCUUGGAUCUAUUGAAGACUAACUACUGCGAAAGCAUUUGCCAGGGAUGUUUUCAUUGAUAAGGAACGAAAGUUAGGGGAUCGAAGACGAUCAGAUACCGUCGUAGUCUUAACUAUAAACUAUGCCGACUAGGGAUCGGACGAUGUUAUUUCUUGACGCGUUCGGCACCUUUCGAGAAAUCAAAGUGCUUGGGCUCCAGGGGGAGUAUGGUCGCAAGGCUGAAACUUAAAGAAAUUGACGGAAGGGCACCACCAGGGGUGGAACCUGCGGCUUAAUUUGACUAAACACGGGGAAACUCACCAGGUCCAGACACAGUGAGGAUUGACAGAUUGAGAGCUCUUUCUUGAUUCUGUGGGUGGUGGUGCAUGGCCGUUCUUAGUUGGUGGAGUGAUUUGUCUGCUUAAUUGCGAUAACGAACGAGACCUUAACCUGCUAAAUAGCCCGUACUGCUCUGGCAGUUCGCCGGCUUCUUAGAGGGACUAUCGG
rnacentral:rRNA from 1 species